GUGGGGGACAGGGGAGGCCAGCAGAGAGCAGACGCAUGACGUUUGGUGUGAAGAGUGCCAGGAAGACAGUCGGGCAGAGCAGGCACUGCCCACAGAGCGGACAGACAGCUCUGGCCAGUGAGGAAGAGCUCCUGCCCGUCCCAAAGCAGGUGUAUGAGGAGCCAUGAGCUCAACCUGGAACCAGAGAGCCUCGCCCUCUCCUCCUGCACACGAGAUUCAGCCGCACAAGGCGCCCCUCCUCCAACGCACCUGCUGCUCUGUGGGCGGCCACCUCGGCACCCACCUGAGGGCGGGGCCCCUCCCUGGGGACCGUGCGCCUGGGCUCCCCUCUGGACGCCUCUUGGGUCUCUGCGGAGGUACCAGGGAAGGCGGGGGCUGCAGGCGGACAGAGAGUCCUGAACGGCUCGCUGGGGAACAAGACCAGAGACGCGAUUUUCAGGCUGCAGACACCGGCUGGCGCGAUGGAGUAACCCAGAUGUGCUAGGGGUGCCCCUCCUUGCGCCGGAUCCCCUAGAUGUGCCCCCCACCCCUGCAGGCAGGGAGCGGGCGCCCAGGCUGGAGAUGUGGGGAGGGAGGUCAGACUGACUCCGGGACCCCCCAGUCGCACUCAGUGACCCCGGGGUCCCCGUCCCCGGCUCAGGCACGUCUCGAACCCCAGGAGAACAAGGAAACUUUACCCCCGCCCGGGGCCCAGCGCAGCCUCCCCGUCCCCCUGGGCGCGCGGUCCAUCCCUGCUCAUUCUCCCUGGCCCUUGCUCCCUCCUCCCUUUUCACUCUCCG
rnacentral:lncRNA from 10 species